rnacentral:rRNA from 1 species
CGUAGGUGGCAAGCGUUAUCCGGAAUUAUUGGGCGUAAAGCGCGCGUAGGCGGUUUUUUAAGUCUGAUGUGAAAGCCCACGGCUCAACCGUGGAGGGUCAUUGGAAACUGGAAAACUUGAGUGCAGAAGAGGAAAGUGGAAUUCCAUGUGUAGCGGUGAAAUGCGCAGAGAUAUGGAGGAACACCAGUGGCGAAGGCGACUUUCUGGUCUGUAACUGACGCUGAUGUGCGAAAGCGUGGGGAUCAAACAGGAUUAGAUACCCUGGUAGUCCACGCCGUAAACGAUGAGUGCUAAGUGUUAGGGGGUUUCCGCCCCUUAGUGCUGCAGCUAACGCAUUAAGCACUCCGCCUGGGGAGUACGACCGCAAGGUUG